UACCUGCAGCUCAAGUGGUGGCCGCUAUUAUUGGGCCUAAAACGUUCGUAGCCGGCUGAGUAAAUGCUUGGGUAAAUCGUGCCGCUUAACGGUACGAAUUCCGAGUAGACUGCUUAGCUUGAGACCGGGAGAAGCUAGAGGUACUCCUGGGGUAGGGGUGAAAUCCUGUAAUCCUGGGGGGACCACCAGUGGCGAAGGCGUCUAGCUAGAACGGGUCUGACGGUGAGGGACGAAACCCUGGGGCGCAAACCGGAUUAGAUACCCGGGUAGUCCAGGGCGCAAACGCUGCUUGCUCGAUGUUAGCUGGGCUCCGAGCUCAGCUAGUGUCGGAGAGAAGUUGUUAAGCAAGCUGCUGGGAAGUACGAUCGCAAGAUUGAAACUUAAAGGAAUUGGCGGGGAGCACAGCAACGGGUGGAGCGUGCGGUUU
rnacentral:rRNA from 1 species